AGACAACUGACCAAGCGGAAGCAAUUUUAACGUUGUUUUCUAAUAAGCAAUAUUAGAAAUGCAUUAAUUCAUUUGAGAUGCUGUGGAGGUGAUGCACAGGGACAGGGUGAUAAUGACCCCAGUCAUGUUGAUGAGGAGGGAGAGAAGGGACAGGAGGAGCAGAAGGAGGAGAAGGAGGGGGACAGGGAAGAGAAGCAGCAGGAGGAGAAGGUUUCUGAGUCUGAUGUCAUAUCCUGCAGGGCACUGGAAAGACUUGGCAGACUUCCCAGCAGCGCAGCCUCCAGGGGCUGAUUCAGCCAAUGUUCCCACCCAGGAAUCCUGGACGUCUGACAGGAAACAGGCCUAACUCUCCCAAGGCCACUACAAGUCAGCCUCUCCCUUCACCCCAUGUCUCCCCCUUACCCAAAAACCUCUCGGGGGACUUUUCUUUAUGUGUCUCUCAGACAAACUAUCUUUCAAAUACACAUUCUUCUUCACCACACCCCUUUUCAUCCUCCCUGCCCUCUGCCCGGCUUUCCAUUGUAGGCCUGUCAUGUUUUAGCCUUCAAGCAAUUGAACAAUUUUAUGAGGUAAGCGAGCAGAGCAACAUUUGCAUGCACAAUUUUGGGCUUUCAUGUCGAAGCUAGUAUUUUUCUGACCUUGUCGGAGCAUGUUUUGAUUAAAUGCUGCUUCUCACAUACUCUUCAGAUGUGAGCACUAUAGGAAGGCAUCUUGUGACCUGCACAUAAGCUACAGCUGCAAUUACAUUUGUUUACAGCUCAAAAAUAACCUUGAACACAAAUGGCAUUCUUUCAGUAUUUCAUUUAUUUUAUAAAAAGGGAAUUAACAAAAUGUUUAUGUACCUACAUUAGUGUUUCAGAUUGUACCGAUUUAACACAGGCAGCGUGCUACUGGACACAAAAGGCUAUUGCACACGAGACAUUUCAUAUAACACAAAUCAUACAUACUGUACAAAGAUACAUACAUACAUACAUACUUACAAACAUACAUAGUUAUUCAUGUAUUUAUCAUUUUUUUUUAAAUCAGGCAAUACAAUGAAGUGAUAGGUACACAGAUUAAAACAUAUCUCCAUCUGAAAAAACUGGGGGAAAGCAAACAUCACUGAAGCUGCCAAAGUGCUUUUCACCAUUUCUACUUGGUCAUCUAAAUAUAAAACUCAAUAUUAAAACACUGACGGAGAAAAGACUUUUAGAUGUGUGUACAGGAAUAAGGUUAGUCUAACCCUGAACAACAGGAACCGGACAAUUAAAAAAACAAGACUUCCUAUGGCUGAAGGAAGUUGCGUGUUGUAGGAUGUCAGAAAACGAGGAUGAAGCUGACCUCCCAGGAGGGCAGAUCCCCUCUUUUCCGCUUCAAACCGGAUCUUCUCCUAUUUUGCAAGGGGUCUUUGGAAAGCUGAGACUUGUUUACAUCUUUAGUUGUACAAGGCAUAUGGCUAGCUAAUUAAACCAUGAUGUUCACUACAAA